AUACCAUGAUGCCGGCAUUUCCUAAGCAACUCCUUAAACCUUUCCCAAGCGUCAUAUAUGGACUCCCCCUCCAACUGAUGGAAAUUAUUAAUAUCUCCUCAAAUCC